CAAUGAGUUAUGACUCAUAGACU
rnacentral:snRNA from 1 species